UUUGCUAAGUGUGAAAAGUGAAUCUGGCCCUGUUCUUACCGGAAACCAACACAUUCUCGGAGACGUUUCCGCAGCCAACAAUGUUGCACGCGCUGCAGAUUAGUUCGCCGGACAUUUCAAUGGUCGUCGACACUGUAGAGACCAGGGAAGUUACGGUUCCGCUUUCCGUGGUGUGCUGCGUGAAUAUCGCUUGAUUUAAUUAAUCGAUCGCGAUCGAUGGUUUGGUGUCAAAAGUUAAGACAUUGCGUACCGUUAAGUACUCAUGGACACCAUUCUCGCAGACAGGGAAUUUGGGACAGUUGCGGUAACUCCAGGUAAUAUUCGGCUUCGGGAACGCUGCCACGUGACAUUCUACGUUUGCCACCUGAUUAGAAACAAUGAAAAUAGCAUACCAAUUACGUCCAACGUAAAGUUCAAUGUAUCCAUUUUAUACUGAUUGCUAGCCUGGAUGGAAUAUACUCCCAUGUCAUGGAAUUCCAAACGGUUUAUUCGCAAUAUCGGCUUGCAACAUGUGACAUCGAUCGAAAAUUUAGAUUCCUCGGACGUCGACGAACUCGUGAUUUCGUCGCCGUUUGUAUUCAACCUACGAAAAAGGAAACUUUGGAUAUCAGAAUAUUGGGAGAGUGUUGGUAGACUGCAGACCUUUGUGCAAAGUGUACAUUUUCGAUAUCGAUUGGGAAAAAAAAACGGGAACUGCACAGAGAUAACGUAAUCGAGAAGUUCUUAAAGUUUUCUGCUUCGUCUACUCGUUUUCAUCGCAAACGUAUAAAAUUCGCAGACUAUCUAGAAGAAACAACUAUGGAAAGUUGAUGUGUUUAAAUGGGUGGUGUUAUUAAAUGUCUUUGUUAUAUAUACCGUAA